rnacentral:rRNA from 1 species
GACGAACGCUGGCGGCGUGCCUGACACAUGCAAGUCGGACGGUUCUUGUAUCUUCAAGCUUGCUUGCAGGUGCAAGGAUAGUGGCGGACGGGUGAGUAACGCGUGAACAUCUACCCAUUGGAGGGGGACAACCCGUCGAAAGGCGGGCUAAUACCGCGUAAGCCGCGAGGUGAGAGGCUGCCUAUUGGUGGCCGCCGAUGGAUGGGUUCGCGUCCUAUCAGCUGGUUGGUGGGGUAACGGCCUACCAAGGCGAAGACGGGUAGCCGGUCUGAGAGGAUGGCCGGCCACACUGGAACUGAGACACGGUCCAGACUCCUACGGGAGGCAGCAGUGGGGAAUAUUGGGCAAUGGGGGAGACCCUGACCCAGCGACGCCGCGUGAGGGAUGAAGGCCCUCGGGUUGUAAACUGCUUUUGUACGGAACGAAAAGGCUCUUGCUAAUACCAGGAGUCCAUGACGGUACCGUAAGAAUAAGCACCGGCUAACUACGUG